CGGCUGUGUCCCCAGGCGGACAGCGAAGAGCAUGCUUCUCAUUUGUCAUAAUCAACUUUAAUAAAAAAUAAAUUACUUCUGGGGCGGGAGCCAUUUAAGGAGAUGGGAAGUGGGGGCAGGGGCGGGGUGUCUUCUAACAUGUCUCCACCCUUGGUUCAGAUGGUCCCUGCUCUGGCCUGGGGGUAGGACUGGCUACGGCUGACCCUCUCCCUCGCCAAUCAGGGAGGCCAGGAUGGAGAUGGGCACGGAGUGAGGGGGUCAGAGCCAAAAGGGUGGCUGGGGGGGGGUGCUGGGGAUCAAACCCAGGGCUUGGUGCAUUCCUGGCCAGCAGCCUACCACUGAGCUACACUCCCGGUCCAAAAGAGUGGUUUAGAAAAUGUGAGGCCUGAAUAUGAGAAAUCAGGUUUAGGGUGCAAAAUUGCCAUUGCUGAGGAGACCACAUUCUAAGUAGCUCAGAUUAGUGAGGAGCUGCAAACUUCCUUUCCUCUCAGCCUAGAAAAGUCUCGGGGAAACAAGUACUGUCUGCUCCCCCACUCCUUUCCGCCCCUGUGACUUCUCUUUGGGAAGUGAUACCCCAAUCUGAGGGCACACACGGGGGCGGAGGUGCACACACAUCACACCACAAACGCAGACCCUGCCACACAUCCGGACAGCCGCCGUCUGUGGCCUCCACCUUCAGUCGCCCUGGAGGGUAUCCCAGGUAUAAUGGGACAGGCUGGAGAGCCAGGGGCACCGCAUGGGCUGAUCGAGAGAACCGGGAGGAGAGGCCUCCGGGCCCCAUUUCAGGCGGGCUCCAGCGGGGAGCGCUCCAGGACGCGGGCGCAAGAGCGGCAGCAGGUGGCUGUGUAGUAGGGGUAGACGCAGAGCCGGGCCUGGACCACCAGGGGGCAGUGUGGAGAGCUGUCCUUGCACCUAUCGUCUGGGGACAGAGGCCAGCGGGCACCAUCAACAAUGACCACCUGGCCGGAAGUGCGCUGCCCACUGCCACAGUCCCUUCUCUCCUCCGCGCACACUCCUGCUAAUCCCUGAGCCCAUUGUCGGGACUGGGCAUAGGGGCUCGUUACCAGGCCGCUGGCUGCAGGGCUGGCUGUUACACUGCCGUUUCCUGGAGGGCCUCAGGUGAGGAGGGCACAGGGUGCUGAGGGUCUGGUUGGCACUCAGGCACUGGACCUCCCUGGUCUGCGUGCCACCUUGGCAGGAGCGAGAACACUAGGGGAAGCACAGCUAUGAGAUCGGGACUCCGCCUUCACCCCUGGCCACAACCUCCCUCUGAAGAGCAGCGGCGGGACAUUAUCAUCCAGGACGCUAUGAGUGCCACCUGCCCUCCAAGCCCAAAGGAAAUGGGACAAUGUGAAAUGAGCUGGGCUUGUCCUGGGGUUUGAAGAAACUUGGGGGUCCAGUGAGAGGAGCCCCACUUCACUGGAGACUCAGGCUGAGCAGGGCAGGGAGCCAGGCACUCACCGGACUCCAGGCUGUGGAAAACCAUUGAUCCUGGCAGGCCUGGCCCUGACAGGGCUGCACGGUGGGCGGCCUGGCCAGGUGGGAACAGUUGCUGGGAGGAGUCACAGUGAACUCAGUCCCCAGUUUGGACACACAGAUGACGUCUCUAUGCUGUGUGCCGGAGCCACACUCCGAGGAGCACUGGUGUCGGGAGGGGCAGAGAUCACUCCCAAUGCCUGCCUGCCAUGCAGUGCCCCUGCCCCAGCCCAGCCCCUCCCAGGCCUCAGCGCACCUCACCCCAGGGCCCUGUGUACCAGCACCACGUCCUCUCGCAGGGCCCCAAGCUGCAGGCACGCAUGUCGGGAGGGCGGCUUCCUGGCGGGCAGCUCUGCUCCCUGGUUCCUGCUCCCUCAUCCUCCUGGCCCAGCCUGUGGGUCUCCCUGCUCCCAAGGCAGACCACUGAGCGCCGCUGGAUUCCCGUCCCACACUGGGCUGAGCACUGUGGAGAAGCAGGGAGGCCUUCGUGAAGGGGGCUGCUGGAGACAAGGGGGGCCAGGGACUUGGGGUGGAGGUGUCCCAGGUGGGCGUCUAGCACCCUGAUGCACAAAGGAGGCACUUGCUCAGUCAAUUCGUACUGCAUUCUGCCUGCAUGCGCUCGCUCACCAGGGAUGCGGGGCUCGGCUGAGGGCAUGGGGCCCACCUUGGAGCUCCAGUCGCUGUGGAACCAGGCUGUGGUACAGGGCCCCAUGUCACAGGCCUCUCUGCUGGGGGGCCGGGGGGCGCCCGAGGCACAUGCCUGCUCACUCACUUCGUCGCCAUUGUUUCCCACACAGCGAACCUGCCGGCUCCGCUGGCCUCGUCCGCACCAUACAGAGCACUGGGGGUGUGAGAGGGACCCUGGGAGCUGGGCUUUGGGCGGCUUCAGCCCCAGGGCUUAGGACCCAGGAUCUGCCUUCCAGCCCCAGCUCAGUGGUUAUAGGGUCUAUGGGUUGGAGAGGAGCCUGAGCCGGGGCUCAGUCUCUUAUCUGACAUUGUCUACUGGGGUUCCACAUGACAGCCUGUUUGCAGAAUGUUUCUGCUGAUGAAGAAAGGUGGAAAAACUUCUGCUCCGUUCACUGGUGCCCACUCCUCUGGGCUUCUACACCCGAGCUCACUCACCUGGCUCCAGGGCGAGCCCACCUCCCAGUGGCCGCAGAGGAGCAGCUGGCAGUGCUGGGUGGUGUUGGGCCGAGGGAGGUGUGCGCAGCGCUCUGGGGCCACUGAGGAGCCUCCCCCACCAAACUCCUGCCGGCAGUGCAGCUGGCGGUGCUGUCCACUCACCGGGCUCCCAGCUGCGGGUGUGGGCAGGGCAGGAAGGAGGUAGACAGGGUGAUGAGAUUUGUAGGGGCCGUCACAGGACAGUGGGCACAUUUAGCGGUGGAGCUGGGGUUCUUAUGGGGGUGCAGGCUGCCUGGGGUUUUCUGCUGUCUGUGGGAUAGCAGCCCCGUGUCCCUGCGGCCAG
ensembl:lncRNA